CAAAUUGAAAUGCAAGUUUAAAUACUGAUCAAAAUUUAUUCAGAAAUAUUUUCUGUAAAAUCUAUAAUUCUUACAUUGCAGUGUAUAAAUUAUGAACAAGUCUCAUCUUCAGGUUCAUAAAUAAUAUAAUAUGUUGACCUCCAUCCAUUGUAUUUCAUUGUAUAUGAAUCAUAUCAAAAUUUAAACAAUUAUAUUGUUCUUGUUGUAGAUUUUUGUUUCACUUUACAAUAUUUGUGAAAGAAUUUUAUUUUUGUGUUAUAGAACAGUUCAGUGAUUGCAAAUUGUCUUAUUCCAUGUUAGUGAAGUCUCUAAACUGAACCAGAAUUAAGCAAUGAAUAUUCAUAAGUUGUUUAACACUGUUUUAAUAAACAAAUCACCUGUGUAAUAUGGACACAAUCCUCACUUUCAAAGGGGUUUUGUUUAAAAAGAUUUCAUUGUAUUAGUCUUACUAAAAAUCAGGCAGAUAAAACAUUCAAAUUUACAUCAAUUACCAAGCACAGCAACGAAAGUAUUAUUUUGGAAAAAUACAAUAAGGGAGAUAACUCUAUCAGAGAAUUAAUUCUACAAUAAAAUAAUUUGAGUUGUAGCUUCUUUUACAACAAAAGUAAAAAUACUCCUUAACUAUGAGUAUUUCAGUAUUAAUUACAAUCCAUUUAAGUCAAGUGAUUUUUGUAGAAAAGGUCACUGUUCAAGAUCAAAAUCUUGUGGAAAAUACAAUUGGUUUUCAUUUCUAUUUAUUGAUUUUAAAAACUGCCUGAUUCUUUUGAGACUUGCACUUAAGGACACAGUUGUACUUAAUUUCCAUACACAUUGUGUUGUAACAACACUUCUCAAUACUUACAUGUUACUGUGUGUGACACUCAGUCUAAAGAAUUUCAAAUUGAAAUAUUUGUGUAUAAUUUACAUUAAAGCAAGUGUAUUUCAUAUUCAGUGAAUAAAAUAUUUUUGUGAAUUUGUACUUAUUAUAGUAUUGCAUUUUAAUGUAAAUUUAUGUGAAACAAAUCAGACACAUUUUACAAUAGCGUAAUUUUUGAAAAGCAUCCCUUUGUUGCACUGCUUUUCUGUAUUUCCCUUUUUUUUAAGAAUCCAAAUUAAAGACUAACUGUUGAUUCAUUAAUACAUAUUCAUUGGAGACUUUUUCAUGGAUAUUGUUGGUAGAGGAAAUUAAAUUUAAAGAUCAAAUAAAACGCUAAUUUCUAAUUAUUUUAGAAAAAAUGAGGAACCUUAAUUAAAUAACACUUUUUCUCCAACUAGUAAAAUGCAAACGAAAUUAGUUUUUAAAAUCUCCUUAUGGCAGAAACUGAAAAAUAAAUAGACCUGCUCAAGGAUUGUAUUACAGAAUUAAGUUCAAGAAUAUGUAGUAUAAACCAUUUAAAAAGAUUAUGGUUACCUUUGAAACUUUAAUUUUUUAGAAGAAAAUAGUUUAAAGAGCAAAUACAGAAAUACAGUGCAACAAGAGAAACUGUUUUGUUAAUUUUUCGGGAUAAAAUCUCUUUAAAAUUAUUCAGAUGUUGUAAUGAAAAAAGUUUAAAACUACAAUGUAACUAUUUUUUGUAUCUGUUUGUUUCAAUUUGGUAUCAUUGUAUUUCAUUUUGUUAUAAUUCGAUCAAUUCGAUAUCAUUUAUUAUUGAAUUCACUCUCAUUUAGUUUCAGUGCUAUAUCAUAUUUUGAGUUUGAUUCCCCC
rnacentral:lncRNA from 1 species